UGCUAGUUGUACGAGUUUAGACUCGUAGCAGAUAGCUCAGUAACACGUGGCCAAACUACCCUAUAGAUCCAGACAACCUCGGGAAACUGAGGCUAAUCUGGAAUAGGGCUCUCAUCCUGGAGUGGAGAGAGCCUGAAACGCUCCGGCGCUAUAGGAUGUGGCUGCGGCCGAUUAGGUAGACGGUGGGGUAACGGCCCACCGUGCCAGUAAUCGGUACGGGUUGUGAGAGCAAGAGCCCGGAGACGGUAUCUGAGACAAGAUACCGGGCCCUACGGGGCGCAGCAGGCGCGAAACCUUUACACUGCACGCCAGUGCGAUAAGGGGACUCCAAGUGCGAGGGCAUAUAGUCCUCGCUUUUUGCGACCGUAAGGUGGUCGCGGAAUAAGUGCUGGGCAAGACCGGUGCCAGCCGCCGCGGUAAUACCGGCAGCACGAGUGAUGACCGCUGUUAUUGGGCCUAAAGCGUCCGUAGCUGGCCGCGCAAGUCUAUCGGGAAAUCUCUCCGCUUAACGGAGAGGCGUCCGGUGGAAACUGUGUGGCUUGGGGACCGGAAGACCAGAGGGGUACGUCUGGGGUAGGAGUGAAAUCCCGUAAUCCUGGACGGACCACCGGUGGCGAAAGCGCCUCUGGAAGACGGAUCCGACGGUGAGGGACGAAAGCUCGGGUCACGAACCGGAUUAGAUACCCGGGUAGUCCGAGCUGUAAACGAUGUCUGCUAGGUGUGACACAGGCUACGAGCCUGUGUUGUGCCGUAGGGAAGCCGUGAAGCAGACCGCCUG
rnacentral:rRNA from 1 species